rnacentral:rRNA from 1 species
CCCUUAGAUGUCCUGGGCCGCACGCGCGCUACACUGAACGGAUCAGCGCGUUUUCCCUUCCCGAGAGGGACGGGUAACCUGCUGAACCCCGUUCGUGGUAGGGAUCGGGGCUUGCAAUUAUUCCCCGUGAACCAGGAAUGCCCAGUAAGUGCAAGUCAUAAGCUUGCGUUGAUUACGUCCCUGCCCUUUGUACACACCGCCCGUCGCACCUACCGAUUGAAUGGUCCGGUGAAGCCUCCGGAUUGGCGCGCACCUCGGUGCCGCCGAGAAGUUGGCUAAACCUUACCAUUUAGAGGAAGGUGAANUCGUAACA